ACGAACGCUGGCGGCGUGCUUAACACAUGCAAGUCGAACGGAAAGGCCCUGCUUUUGUGGGGUGCUCGAGUGGCGAACGGGUGAGUAACACGUGAGUAAUCUGCCCUUGACUUUGGGAUAACUUCAGGAAACUGGGGCUAAUACCGGAUAGGAGCUCCUGCUGCAUGGUGGGGGUUGGAAAGUUUCGGCGGUUGGGGAUGGACUCGCGGCUUAUCAGCUUGUUGGUGGGGUAGUGGCUUACCAAGGCUUUGACGGGUAGCCGACCUGAGAGGGUGAUCGGCCACACUGGAACUGAGACACGGUCCAGACUCCUACGGGAGGCAGCAGUAGGGAAUCUUCCGCAAUGGGCGAAAGCUUGACGGAGCAACGCCGCGUGAGUGAUGAAGGUCUUCGGAUCGUAAAACUCUGUUAUUAGGGAAGAACAAAUGUGUAAGUAACUAUGCACGUCUUGACGGUACCUAAUCAGAAAGCCACGGCUAACUACGUG
rnacentral:rRNA from 1 species